AGGACCAGACUGCAGAUAAAUUUGUCUGACUACACUGGUCUGAUUGGAAAAGGAACUGAAAUCUGGAUGGAGUCUUAAGCUCCUGUGUUCUUUCCACCAAAACCUACUAAUGGCAGGACCUUGGAGAAGAAGCAUGACUUUGACAAUAUGAGAGGAAUCUGAAGCAGCUUUCCAUUCCAACUUAAAUAAUGAUAUAAAUAAACGGAGGAAUAUUCAGAGCUGAUGGCCAGACCCUGGCAAUACACCACAAAUGAUGAAACUAACAAAGUUAAUCAAUCAGGAACUUGAAGUACUACUACUUAACAGAGAGUUCACACUUACUUAGUCAUUAACACUUAGUCAUAAAAGACCACCAGCACUGCACCCCCCAGGCAGCAAAUCCAGAGACUUUGAUUGGUUCCCGAGAUAUGAUAGACCAGCCCACUGUGAAAGGAAGGAGAAACCACAGAGACAGGAAGUGAAUUGGAGAAAACUGCUUAUAAAAGCCAACCAAGUGCAUUCUAAUUCACUCAACUGCCUUGGAGGACUUCUGCUGCCUUGGUAGCUCUUGCAGAGGGAAGUCUUCUGUGUUGUCUCUGUGUUGGAGGCUCUUCUGCAUUGGAGGGAUUCUUCUGCCUUGGACUUCUGCAUUGGAAAUUGCUUUUGAGCUGUUAAGACUCUUGCUGAAGAGACUACAGUGACUUUUGCUUUGGAGAUCAGAAGAAUUAGAUCCUGUUGGAGAUUAGAACAUAAAAAUCCACUGUAAAACUGAAGGUUCAAGAUGAUUUCAACACAAUGUUAUUCUGGCAACAAGGAUGAAAUUGUAUUAAAUUUGAAUUGCCAUAGACACUGUAAAUCCUCCUGGAAAUCCCUACCUAUCCAGACAUAGGCAAAGGAAAAGAUCGAAUCUAAUCCAAGAAACACAGAGAUGCAGAACUUUGAAGGACAAACUAUAUAAUGCAAUAAAAUUCAAUUCAUUAAACAUUUGUUUGGUAUCUACUAUGUGCCAGGACUGUGCUGUGUAUCUAGGUCUAAAAUUUUGUCUUGAAUGUAAUAGACAGUUACUAAAUGCUUCUUCAUUGAGUGACUGAUUUUGUAUUGAUGUUUUUGCCAGUGCCUUCAAAUAAAUGAUGGGGAUUUUUAAAAAGCUAAUUUUUA
rnacentral:lncRNA from 1 species